CUUCACUAAACAGACAUGUCAAAUAAUGUGUUUCUCACCGUCCGCGUUGGAAAAUCCCCAAGACCACGGGAAAGAAACAUGAAGAAUUCUUCUACUCAUUCAUUUCUUCGCUCAUCGUUCGCUCAGACACAUGAGUCAAUUCUCUCAGCCUUCACGAAGCGGUCCAGAACAUUUAUAUUUCCACAGUGUGAGAUGCCCCGGAACCACCGCGCACAGGUGGCUUCGCCAGUACUGCUACAAGCGGACCUAUCGUGCACGCCGCUAGUGGACAGCUCGGAGGAGGAAGGCAUGGAUUUAGUACUCUUUGACACACGUGUGGAUUACGAAACUACUCGCUCCCGCUCCCACACCACCCUCAGCGGCUCUCCACGUCUCCAGGAUCUGCGGCAGGAACUCCUGGAGGCGUGUGAGAGGGAAGGAGAGCCGGCGCACACUUGCUACGAAAUGGACGUUGAACUAGAGUCUCCGCAUGCCGGUGAAGACCAAGGGCGUGAGGGAAUGCGUCUAGGCAGCCACCAGAACCUCCAAGCGCAGCAGUACCCAAGAAAGUCCUCCGUCAGCACCGUGUUCAGGGCCCUCAAGUGCAUCGAAGGGGAGGAACUGGCGCAGGAGGACUUGACAAUGAUGCCCCUUGAAGUACCUCGCAUCCCGCGCUCCACUCACCGAGCUCCACCUGGCUACGCCUCCCUCAAUCGUGCCACUAUCGACUACUGAACUUUGUUAAACUAAGGAAUUGUCUCUCCUGUAGAAACAUGUAGGUUUUUAUUAUCUAUUAACUUAUUGUAGAGAGAGAGAGAGAGAGAGACGCUCAUAAUUAUGUAACAACCUCACCUAAUUUAAUCUAACGUAACGUAACCCAACCUCGUCAGCUUACCUCAAUGAACAUAGCAAAUAAUGGAACAAAAAUACGAGUAGUACAUUAUAAGAUAAAGGCAAUAUAUAUAAAUCAAUAUAUAAAUGACCAAAUGAAUAUAUGAUUAGAGAAAAAAUAAAGGAAUAAAUGAAA
rnacentral:misc_RNA from 1 species